GGAAGGUGGGGAUGACGUCAAAUCAUCAUGCCCCUUAUGACCUGGGCUACACACGUGCUACAAUGGUUGGUACAACGAGUUGCGAGUCGGUGACGGCGAGCUAAUCUCUUAAAGCCAAUCUCAGUUCGGAUUGUAGGCUGCAACUCGCCUACAUGAAGUCGGAAUCGCUAGUAAUCGCGGAUCAGCACGCCGCGGUGAAUACGUUCCCGGGCCUU
rnacentral:rRNA from 1 species